rnacentral:rRNA from 1 species
AACGUAGGUGGCGAGCGUUAUCCGGAUUCAUUGGGCGUAAAGAGCUUGUAGGUGGUGCGAUAAGUUGGACGUGAAAACUCCGGGCUUAACUUGGAGAGGCCGUUCAAUACUGUUGUGCUAGAGGGCGUCAGAGGGAAGUGGAAUUCCUGGUGUAGCAGUGAAAUGCGUAGAUAUCAGGAGGAACACCCGUGGCGAAGGCGGCUUCCUGGGACGUACCUGACACUGAGAAGCGAAAGCUAGGGGAGCAAACGGGAUUAGAAACCCCGGUAGUCCUAGCUGUAAACGAUGGAUGCUAGGUGUGAGUGGAUCUAACCCCGCUCGUGCCGAAGCUAACGCGUUAAGCAUCCCGCCUGGGAACUACGAGCGCAAGCUUAAAACUCAAAGGAAUUGACGGGGACCCGCACAAGCAGCGGAGCGUGUGGUUUAAUUCGAUGCUACACGAAGAACCUCACCCAGGUUUGACAUACAGGUGGUAGUGAAGCGAAAGCGGAACGACCCGCAAGGGAGCCUGAACAGGUGUUGCAUGGCUGUCGUCAGCUCGUGUCGUGAGAUGUUGGUUUAAGUACCCUAACGAGCGCAACCCUCGUUGCCAGUUACAAGUGUCUGGCGAUACUGCCGGCCGCAAGCCGGAGGAAGGCGGGGAUGACGUCAAGUCAGCAUGGCCUUUAUAUCUGGGGUUACACACACGCUACAAUGGGUCGCAACAAUGGGUAGCCAAACCGCGAGGCGGAGCCAAUCCCAUAAAACGGCCCUCAGUUCAGAUUGCAGGCUGCAACUCGCCUGCAUGAAGUCGGAGUUGCUAGUAAACGCGCGUCAGCUAUAGUGCGUUGAAUACGUUCCCGGGUCUUGUACACACCGCCCGUCACACUAUGGGAGCUGGCAACACCUGAAGCCAGUAGCGUAACCGCAAGGAGCGCGCUGUCAAAGGUGGGGCUGGUGACUGGAGUG